rnacentral:rRNA from 1 species
GACGAACCGUGCGAACGUUGUUCGGAAUCACUGGGCAUAAAGGGCGCGUAGGCGGCUUAUCAAGUCAGGGGUGAAAUCCGGCAGCUCAACUGUCGAAGUGCCUUUGAUACUGAUGAGCUCGAGGGAGGUAGGGGUGUGCGGAACUUCCGGUGGAGCGGUGAAAUGCGUUGAUAUCGGAAGGAACGCCGGUGGCGAAAGCGGCGCACUGGACCUCUUCUGACGCUGAGGCGCGAAAGCUAGGGGAGCAAACGGG